rnacentral:rRNA from 1 species
GUGGGGAAUCUUCCACAAUGGACGAAAGUCUGAUGGAGCAACGCCGCGUGAGUGAAGAAGGGUUUCGGCUCGUAAAGCUCUGUUGUCGGGGACGAAUGUGCAGUAUUUGAAUAAAGUACUGCAAUGACGGUACCUGACGAGGAAGCCACGGCUAACUACGUGCCAGCAGCCGCGGUAAUACGUAGGUGGCAAGCGUUGUCCGGAAUUAUUGGGCGUAAAGGGAGCGCAGGCGGGAAGGUAAGUCGGUCUUAAAAGUGCGGGGCUCAACCCCGUGAUGGGAUCGAAACUAUCUUUCUUGAGUGCAGGAGAGGAAAGUGGAAUUCCUAGUGUAGCGGUGAAAUGCGUAGAUAUUAGGAGGAACACCAGUGGCGAAGGCGACUUUCUGGACUGUAACUGACGCUGAGGCUCGAAAGCCAGGGGAGCGAACGGGAUUAGAAACCCGGGUAGUCC